rnacentral:rRNA from 1 species
UAACACAUGCAAGUCGAGCGGAAACGAUGAUAGCUUGCUAUCAGGCGUCGAGCGGCGGACGGGUGAGUAAUACUUAGGAAUCUACCUAGUAGUGGGGGAUAGCUCGGGGAAACUCGAAUUAAUACCGCAUACGACCUACGGGAGAAAGGGGGCAACUUGUUGCUCUCGCUAUUAGAUGAGCCUAAGUCGGAUUAGCUAGAUGGUGGGGUAAAGGCCUACCAUGGCGACGAUCUGUAGCUGGUCUGAGAGGAUGAUCAGCCACACCGGGACUGAGACACGGCCCGGACUCCUACGGGAGGCAGCAGUGGGGAAUAUUGGACAAUGGGGGCAACCCUGAUCCAGCCAUGCCGCGUGUGUGAAGAAGGCCUUUUGGUUGUAAAGCACUUUAAGCAGUGAAGAAGACUCCAUGGUUAAUACCCAUGGACGAUGACAUUAGCUGCAGAAUAAGCACCGACUAACUCUGUGCCAGCAGCCGCGGUAAUACAGAGGGUGCAAGCGUUAAUCGGAAUUACUGGGCGUAAAGCGAGCGUAGGUGGCUUGAUAAGUCAGAUGUGAAAUCCCCGGGCUUAACCUGGGAACUGCAUCUGAUACUGUUAGGCUAGAAUAGGUGAGAGGAAGGUAGAAUUCCAGGUGUAGCGGUGAAAUGCGUAGAGAUCUGGAGGAAUACCGAUGGCGAAGGCAGCCUUCUGGCAUCAUAUUGACACUGAGGUUCGAAAGCGUGGGUAGCAAACAGGAUUAGAUACCCUGGUAGUCCACGCCGUAAACGAUGUCUACUAGUCGUUGGGUCCCUUGAGGACUUAGUGACGCAGCUAACGCAAUAAGUAGACCGCCUGGGGAGUACGCCGCAAGGUUAAAACUCAAAUGAAUUGACGGGGCCCGCACAAGCGUUGAGCAUGUCUUUAAUUCGAUGCACGCGAAGACCUACUUGUCUGGACAUAUCUAGAAUCUGCAAGAUGCGGGAAUGCCUCGAAUAGAAUACGUGCUGCAUGCCUGUCGUCAGCUCGGUCGGAGAUGUUGGUAAGC